rnacentral:rRNA from 1 species
AGCAGCCGCGGUAAUUCCAGCUCCAAUAGCGUAUAUUAAAGUUGUUGCAGUUAAAAAGCUCGUAGUUGAAUUUCGGGAUCAAUGUUUCGGUCAUGCCCUUGGUAUGUACUGAUAUUAUUGGUUUCUCACCUUCUAAAGAACCGUAAUGCCAUUAAUUUGGUGUCACGGGGAAUUAGGACUGUUACCUUGAAAAAAUUAGAGUGUUUAAAGCAGGCUCACGCUUGAAUACAUUAGCGUGGAAUAAUGAAAUAGGACAUCCGAUUCUAUUUUGUUGGUUUCUAGGAUCGAUGUAAUGAUUAAUAGGGAUAGUUGGGGGCAUUAGUAUUCAAUUGUCAGAGGUGAAAUUCUUGGAUUUAUUGAAGACUAACUACUGCGAAAGCAUUUGCCAAGGAUGUUUUCAUUAAUCAAGAACGAAAGUUAGGGGAUCGAAGACGAUCAGAUACCGUCGUAGUCUUAACCAUAAACUAUGCCGACUAGGGAUCGGAUGAUGUUAAUUUUUUAAUGACUCA